GACGCUCAAACGUCAUGAUAAUUGAAGUUCAAUUAUUGGCUUCCGGGCACUUCCGUAUACUCAUAAAGCUUAGUAAAAGAUGUUCUGGAUAAGACAAGUUAGUUAGAUGAAGGCUAGGCGUUCUAGGACUCUCUAGCUAGCUAGUAUAGCUAUGUAGCUGGAUUGCUUGGCACCUAGGAAGGAUCUUCGAAGAAAUAAAGAGACAAAGACUCCCGUCGCUCAAAUGGUGGUGGUAAGUGUCGGAGGCCUGAGAAACGCUUGUCUAUUGGCUAGAAUGUUGUUAUGGAGUGUUUAUGAGGACAAGUGGCACGGGAUACGUACAUCUAAAGAAACAAGAGUGGAUCUACGCCAAGCUAGCUAGCUAGAUAGCUGCUCUUUCUAAUCUAUUUCUGUUGCUAAAUUAUGUUUGUUAAGAAGUGGAGCUAUAAUAUACCUGGCUCCUCUUGAUGAUUGUAAGUACUGGGCUGAUGAAAUAGUCCUGUACAAGUUGUCAUCUUUUA